UACGUAGGGCGCAAGCGUUUAUCCGGAAUUAUUGGGCGGUAAAGAGCUCGUAGGCGGUUUGUCGCGUCUGCUGUGAAAUCCCGAGGCUCAACCUCGGGCUUGCAGUGGGUACGGGCAGACUAGAGUGCGGUAGGGGAGACUGGAAUUCCUGGUGUAGCGGUGGAAUGCGCAGAUAUCAGGAGGAACACCGGUGGCGAAGGCGGGUCUCUGGGCCGAUACUGACGUGGAGGAGCGAAAGCGUGGGGAGCGAACAGG
rnacentral:rRNA from 1 species